GCCAUUCUUAUGCCUUUGCAUCCUCAUAGC
rnacentral:piRNA from 1 species